rnacentral:rRNA from 1 species
UGAACGCUGGCGGCGUGCCUAAUACAUGCAAGUCGAGCGAACAGACGAGGAGCUUGCUCCUCUGACGUUAGCGGCGGACGGGUGAGUAACACGUGGGUAACCUACCUAUAAGACUGGGAUAACUUCGGGAAACCGGAGCUAAUACCGGAUAAUAUAUUGAACCGCAUGGUUCAAUAGUGAAAGACGGUUUUGCUGUCACUUAUAGAUGGAUCCGCGCCGCAUUAGCUAGUUGGUAAGGUAACGGCUUACCAAGGCAACGAUGCGUAGCCGACCUGAGAGGGUGAUCGGCCACACUGGAACUGAGACACGGUCCAGACUCCUACGGGAGGCAGCAGUAGGGAAUCUUCCGCAAUGGGCGAAAGCCUGACGGAGCAACGCCGCGUGAGUGAUGAAGGUCUUCGGAUCGUAAAACUCUGUUAUUAGGGAAGAACAAAUGUGUAAGUAACUAUGCACGUCUUGACGGUACCUAAUCAGAAAGCCACGGCUAACUACGUG